GUGAGGAAUUUUCCGCAAUGGGCGAAAGCCUGACGGAGCAAUGCCGCGUGAAGGAUGAAGGCCUAUGGGUUGUAAACUUCCUUUCUCAGAAAAGAAUUAUGACGGUAUCUGAGGAAUAAGCAUCGGCUAACUCUGUGCCAGCAGCCGCGGUAAGACAGAGGAUGCAAGCGUUAUCCGGAAUGAUUGGGCGUAAAGCGUCUGUAGGUUGUUUAAAAAGUAUUCUGUCAAAGAUUAGGGCUUAACCCUAGAUAGGCAGAAUAAACUUUUAAGCUAGAGUUUGGUAGAGGCAGAGGGAAUUCCCGGUGGAGCGGUGAAAUGCGUAGAUAUCGGGAGGAACACCAAAGGCGAAGGCACUCUGCUGGGCCAAUACUAACACUGAGAGACGAAAGCGAGGGGAGCAAAUGGGAUUAGAUACCCCAGUAGUCC
rnacentral:rRNA from 1 species